rnacentral:rRNA from 1 species
GAACCAGUACUGUGAAGGAAAGGCGAAAAGAACCCCGGGAGGGGAGUGAAAUAGAUCCUGAAACCGCAUACAUACAAACAGUAGGAGCCCGCAAGGGUGACUGCGUACCUUUUGCAUAAUGGGUCAGCGACUUACGUUCAAUGGCAAGCUUAACCGAGUAGGGGAGGCGCAGCGAAAGCGAGUCCGAACAGGGCGACAUGAGUCGUUGGGCGUAGACCCGAAACCAGAUGAUCUAUCCAUGGCCAGGCUGAAGGUGUGGUAACACACACUGGAGGGCCGAACCGACUAGUGUUGCAAAAUUAGCGGAUGAGCUGUGGAUAGGGGUGAAAGGCUAAACAAAUCUGGAGAUAGCUGGUUCUCCCCGAAAACUAUUGAGGUAGUGCCUCGUGUAUGGCUCCAGGGGGUAGAGCACUGUUAUGGCUAGGGGGACAUGGCGUCUUACCAAACCAUGGCAAACUCCGAAUACUUGGAAGUCUGAGCACGGGAGACAGAGCACCGGGUGCUAACGUCCGGACUCAAAAGGGAAACAACCCAGACCGCCGGCUAAGGUCCCUAAUAUUGACUAAGUGGAAAACGAAGUGGGAAGGCUAAGACAGUCAGGAAGUUGGCUUAGAAGCAGCCAUCCUUCAAAGAAAGCGUAAUAGCUCACUGAUCGAGUCUUCCUGCGCGGAAGAUGUAACGGGGCUAAGUCAAUAACCGAAGCCGCGGAUUCGCAGCAAUGCGAGUGGUAGGGGAGCGUUCUGUAAGCCUGCGAAGGCGGAUCCGCGAGGACCGCUGGAGGUAUCAGAAGUGCGAAUGCUGACAUGAGUAACGUUAAAGCGGGUGAAAAGCCCGCUCGCCGCAAGCCCAAGGUUUCCUGCUCUACGUUCAUCGGAGCAGGGUGAGUCGGCCCCUAAGGUCAGGCUGAGAAGCGUAGCUGAUGGGAAGCUGGUUAAUAUUCCAGCACCGAUUUCAAGUGCGAAGGGGGGACGGAGUCCUGAAGGUCAUCCGGGUGUUGGAUAUCCCGGUUUACGAGCGUAGGAGGUUGACAGGCAAAUCCGUCAACGGAUCUCCAAGGCGAAGGAUCGAGGUUGAGAGAUCAACUGAAGUGACUGAAUGGGCUUCCAGGAAAAGCCUCUAAGCAUCAGCUUGGAAUUGACCGUACCGCAAACCGACACUGGUGGGCGAGCUGAAUAUGCUCAGGCGCUUGAGAGAACUCAGGAGAAGGAACUCGGCAAAUUGACACCGUAACUUCGGGAUAAGGUGUGCCUUUGUAGUGUGAAGAGAGAAACACUCCGAGCAUGAAGAGGCCUCAGAGAAUCGGUGGCUGCAACUGUUUACUAAAAACACAGCACUCUGCAAAGAUGAAAGUCGACGUAUAGGGUGUGAUGCCUGCCCGGUGCUGGAAGAUUAAUUGAUGGGGUGCAAGCUCCUGAUCGAAGUCCCAGUAAACGGCGGCCGUAACUAUAACGGUCCUAAGGUAGCGAAAUUCCUUGUCGGGCAAGUUCCGACCUGCACGAAUGGCAUAAUGAUGGCCACACUGUCUCCUCCUGAGACUCAGUGAAGUUGAAAUGUUUGUGAUGAUGCAAUCUCCCCGCGGCUAGACGGAAAGACCCCAUGAACCUUUACUGCAGCUUUGCAUUGGACUUUGAACCGAUCUGUGUAGGAUAGGUGGGAGGCAGUGAAGCUAGGACGCCAGUCUUAGCGGAGCCAACCUUGAAAUACCACCCUGAUUUGUUUGAGGUUCUAACCUAGGAGCGUAAUCCGCUUCGGGGACCGUGCAUGGUAGGCAGUUUGACUGGGGCGGUCUCCUCCUAAAGGGUAACGGAGGAGUGCGAAGGUACGCUAGGUACGGUCGGAAAUCGUGCUGAUAGUGCAAUGGCAAAAGCGUGCUUGACUGCGAGACCGACAAGUCGAGCAGAUACGAAAGUAGGUCAUAGUGAUCCGGUGGCUCUGCAUGGAAGGGCCAUCGCUCAACGGAUAAAAGGUACUCUGGGGAUAACAGGCUGAUACCGCCCAAGAGUUCAUAUCGACGGCGGUGUUUGGCAC